UACGUAGGGACCGAGCGUUGUCCGGAAUCAUUGGGCGUAAAGAGCGUGUAGGCGGCUCGCUAAGUCUUGCGUGAAAUCUCGGGGCUCAACCCCGAGCGGUCGUGAGAAACUGGCGGGCUAGAGUGCGGGAGAGGAGAGUGGAGUUCCUGGUGUAGCGGUGAAAUGCGCAGAUAUCAGGAAGAACACCCGUGGCGAAGGCGGCUCUCUGGAACGCAACUGACGCUGAGACGCGAAAGCGUGGGGAGCAAACAGG
rnacentral:rRNA from 1 species